GAUGAACGCUGGCGGAGUGCCUAACACAUGCAAGUCGAGCGGCAGCGCGAGUAGUUUACUACUUGGCGGCGAGCGGCGGACGGCUGAGUAACGCGUGGGAACAUGCCCCAAAGUGAGGAAUAACUGCCCGAAAGGGUAGCUAAUGCCGCAUACGAUCUUCGGAUUAAAGGAUUUAUCCGCUUUGGGAGUGGCCUGCGUACGAUUAGAUAGUUGGUGAGGUAAUGGCUCACCAAGUCUACGAUCGUUAACUGGUUUGAGAGGAUGAUCAGUCAGACUGGAACUGAGACACGGUCCAGACUCCUACGGGAGGCAGCAGUGAGGAAUCCUUCCACAAUGGACGAAAGUCUGAUGGAGCAACUCCGCGUGCAGGAUGAAGGCCUUCGGGUCGUAAACUGCUUUAUGAGUGAAGAAU
rnacentral:rRNA from 1 species